UGCGUAUUUGUUUAAAAUUCAGAUAUCAAUGUUAAGAGAGAGUAGGAAAAAUGGAAUCGCGGUUUCUCUUUCUUUCCUCUACAUUCUUUACUAUGUUCUAACAGAAGAAAGUUAUAUUGGCCGUGGGUCAGCUUAUCAUACUUGUAAAGUUUCAGAUUCUAGAGUUAAUAUGACGACGCUUAAUAUUUCACAAAAAGAUCCACGCACAGCAUUAAA